rnacentral:tRNA from 1 species
GCCGGGGUGGCGGAACUGGUAUACGCGCAGGACUUAAAAUCCUGUGGUUGAAUAGACCUUAUGGGUUCGAGUCCCAUUCCCGGCACCA